rnacentral:RNase_P_RNA from 1 species
AGCGGGACGAUCUGUCGCGCCCUGGCCGCAAGGCAAGGGUGAGGAAAGUCCGGACAGGACAGGGCACUUCGCCGGGGAAAGCCCGGACGGGAGCGAUCUCGUGGGUGCCGUAACAGAAAAUGACCGCCCUUUCCUGCGUUUCCGCAAGGGACAAGGAAAAGGCAAGGGUGAAAACGCGGGGUAAGAGCCCACGACGCGGCGGCGGAGACGUCACGCGGGUACGGUCCCGGAGCCUGCAAAACCAAAUAUACCGGCAGAUGAGGGCUGCCCGCCCGAUGCCGGGGGGUAGGUCGCGCAGAUAAAUGACAGAUUUAAAAACAGAAACCGGCUUACGGUCCCGCUCCU